AUAUUCUGUAGCAAGGUUAACCGAAUAGGGGAGCCGGAGGGAAACCGAGUCUUAACCGGGCGUUAAGUUGCAGGGUAUAGACCCGAAACCCGGUGAUCUAGCCAUGGGCAGGUUGAAGGUUGGGUAACACUAACUGGAGGACCGAACCGACUAAUGUUGAAAAAUUAGCGGAUGACCUGUGGCUGGGGGUGAAAGGCCAAUCAAACCGGGAGAUAGCUGGUUCUCCCCGAAAGCUAUUUAGGUAGCGCCUCGUGAAUUCAUCUCCGGGGGUAGAGCACUGUUUCGGCUAGGGGGCCAUCCCGGCUUACCAACCCGAUGCAAACUGCGAAUACCGGAGAAUGUUAUCACGGGAGACACACGGCGGGUGCUAACGUCCGUCGUGAAGAGGGAAACAACCCAGACCGCCAGCUAAGGUCCCAAAGUCAUGGUUAAGUGGGAAACGAUGUGGGAAGGCCCAGACAGCCAGGAUGUUGGCUUAGAAGCAGCCAUCAUUUAAAGAAAGCGUAAUAGCUCACUGGUCGAGUCGGCCUGCGCGGAAGAUGUAACGGGGCUAAACCAUGCACCGAAGCUGCGGCAGCGACGCUUAUGCGUUGUUGGGUAGGGGAGCGUUCUGUAAGCCUGUGAAGGUGUGUCGUGAGGCAUGCUGGAGGUAUCAGAAGUGCGAAUGCUGACAUAAGUAACGAUAAAGCGGGUGAAAAGCCCGCUCGCCGGAAGACCAAGGGUUCCUGUCCAACGUUAAUCGGGGCAGGGUGAGUCGACCCCUAAGGCGAGGCCGAAAGGCGUAGUCGAUGGGAAACGGGUUAAUAUUCCCGUACUUGGUGUUACUGCGAAGGGGGGACGGAGAAGGCUAUGUUGGCCGGGCGACGGUUGUCCCGGUUUAAGCGUGUAGGUGUGUGUUCCAGGUAAAUCCGGUU
rnacentral:rRNA from 1 species